rnacentral:lncRNA from 1 species
CUUUCAUACAUUAUUAAGAUUUAAACUAUCAACACAAGAACAAGCCCAAAUACCUUAGAAGCAGACACGCCAGAGUAUUUUCAGCAGCUUCUGAACAGGUUACGGCGCUGGUAUCGAGGCGAAAAGACCAUCACACUUCAAGCUUCAACCACGUGUUGUAAUUCAGUAAGCUUCACAGAAUAGCAUCUUUUGAAGGAAUUUGCAGCCCUUUUUUAACGGCUAAGAACACAAGAAAGUCCAUUCUUUAAAGAUAAGUGGUAAUACUUGGAUAAAAUCGAAAAAAUAAAGGUUUUAGAACGAAUAUUUUGAUCUGAAACUCGAUUUAAUGUUGGCUUUUAUUGAAGCUCUUUCGACUUCCUUGCCAUUGCUAAAAUCUCCUGCACGUGUU